ACGUCCUCGCGUCGUGCGUCCCCAGGCCCCAGCCCUGCCGCACAAACCCUAGGCUCCCAAGCCCACAACGUCGCACUCCUCCCUCCUCCAUCCUCAGCCCCCGCCGCUAUUCUGCCUCCCUCCUCUCUGUCGUAUGACCACGUCGCUGGGAGGAAGCGGCCGUUCGUGGCUCCAUACUGCUGUCUAAGUGCCACGCAAGAGGUCAGGGGCUGCCACCACCAUGAACCAGGCCAAAGGGGACGCCCGUUGACGAGCCUCCAGGCAUGAAGCUGACGGCGAGCAUGCCGUUUAUCCGUCAACAAGCCGCCAGGAGGACCUACCGGCCGGUCCCGUGUCGUCGAGCAAGGGCUGCCGGUUGCGUCGUCGUGGGAGGAGGCUCGCCAAGGAGCAGCGGGGAGGAGAUGAGGACACGCCCCCGGACUCCCUAUUUCCUUCUGGUCGUACCUUCCCUAAGCCGUCUCUCUCUAUUGGGCAGCUUCCAUAUGGGAUCUGUACUAGGAAAAGGAGAACCUAUGCGGGGAUGCGGGGUGACGACGAGCGCCGGUGAGCUGGCUGGACAGGUGCCGGGCCCAUGGGCGCGGUUGGGGAGCUGCGCACACAUCCAUCAACGGCGAGCACAUCCAAGGCCAGCAUGUCGAGAUGCGAAUGCGUAUGCCACAAGCUGUGCCAACUUCAAAGGUCAAAAACCCCUUUCUGGGGCGAUCCGUGAGAGGCAUUGCUGAUUGAGACGGGAAAGGGGGAGGAUAUGAUGACCUAAGGGCAUGGAACAACAAUGCUUAAAGCGUACUGGAGGCUGAGUAUGUUGUCUAUGCAAUGGUAUGAGCUUGGUAAAGGAAGCUCAUGGCAGCUACUUCAUUAUUGGGAGGCCUUUACUUUCUCCUUUUUCACGUCUAUACAUAGACAUACAUUCUGUUAUGACAGAAAAAUGGUGUCUGCAUUUACCCAAACAAACUGUGACUGCAUUUGCUUCAGUCAUCACUGAAUUACUAGAGAAAAAUGGUGUCUGCAUUUACCCAAGAAACUUUGAAGUACAUUAUAUUUCUUAGUUUGUGAAAAUAAACUAUUGCUGCACUUAUCACCAUCGUCAUUUCAUAUGUGUGUGGAUAACUAGAUUUGGCAACUUCUCCAAUUAUAUGUGAUGAAAUAUUUUACCUUCGUCAAUAUGCUCCGGUUCCUUCUUAAUUAGCUCCUAUGUUUCUUGUCUUUUAUCUGUACAACUUUUAGCCACACCUUCAGCAUUUUAUGUAUAUAAUUCCCACUUUCAUUGCCCUUGCAUGUGCAAUUUACUUUGGCAAGGCCAGAGUCAACACGAUAGUGGUAGCCCAUUGCUACAUGGGAGCAAUUUAUCUCUAAGUAUGUCAUCUUUGCAAAUUAGAUACUCUAAUAUGCAUUUGCUUGGUUGUAUUUUGCUGACAUAUCAUGUAAUUUCUCGCCAAACGCCCAAACGUAAUACCAGGUAAUUUUAAAUAACUGUGAGGUUGCAUGGUUUCAUAAUAUAUAAAAAGUACAUUCAAGUUACAGUAGGUGUCUAAUUCUGGACUCUGAUCACAAGUACUUAAUAUAAACACUUUCGCCUAUAUGCUGCAGAAAGAGGCCAAUAAGUUAUCCGAGUGCACUGAUGAUAGUUUUUUCUUUCCAGAACACAUUGAAUUGUUGUUACAGAAGUGUGGUAUCUCACAACCUUCUCCCAGUUAGGGCUUUAUAUCGUAUUCUGUAAAGUAUAAUGUUGGUUUCAGAAUCAUCUUCCCAUCCCUCCACGAGUGAUUUGGAUGGUCAGGAAAUCAUCGGUUGCUCUAAUGCGGGAGGAAGCAAGUUAGUUGAAAUGCCUUUCAUUUUUCUGAUAACUUCGUAUCAGUAAAAGGCAUCCAAUAUCCCACGAAUACCCAUGUACUGACAGUGGCUUAGUACAUAUUUUAGAGUGUAGAUUUUAGGAACGGAGGGAGUACAUAAGUAUUUAGAGAUUCAUUUCCUUUCAUUUGAGUGCGUACUUUUGAUCAUAGGAAAAUAAAAAUGAUAGAAGGUACUCCCUCCGUCCCAUAAUAAUAUAAGACAUUUUUGAAAGCUAUUGUCAUGCAAGAUUGUAUCGUAUAUUAAGUCA